UUCAUUUACAGUCGGCACGUAGGAUGGAGAGUAGUGCAUAUAGAGACACAUGUUCCCAACGGAUUUGACGAUGGUGUUCGGUCUUGAAUGGAAUUGUAGUCUUAGGCUAGUCUUAGGUUUUUGAACAGGAUAGUAGGUAUCCGGAGUCGAUUGAGGGCCAGAGCAGGCACUGGGGUUCAGAUUCUGGGCAAAGUUCCCCACGUUGAGGGUCUCGAGGACGCCUAGAUCUCUUUCCCAGGGCCAUGGCGAACCCGAAGCUGCUGGGACUGGAGCUAAGCGAGGCGGAGGUGAUCGGUGCUGAUUCGGCGCGAUUUGAGGAGCUGCUGCUGCAGCUGUCAUGCAUAAGAAUUGCUCCAUUUGAGGAACAAAUGAGGGGUCUGAUGGCACAGACUCCAAGCCUGGAGGUAGUUUUCCUUUAUACAGGCCUCGAAGGAGCUCCAGCAAGCCCAGACAACCAGACCAGAAUCGACACAAAUCCAGCCUCAGCCUGGUUUCUGCAUAAAGACCAACUCCUCAGAAGGGAAGGUUUUCAUCAACAUCUGCCACUCGUCCUCUAUCCCUCCUCCUGCCGACGUGACCGAGGAGGAGCUGCUUCAGAUGCUAGAGGAGGACCAAGCUGGGUUUCGCAUCCCCAUGAGUCUGGGAGAGCCUCAUGCAGAACUGGAUGCAAAAGGCCAGGGAUGUACCGCCUACGACGUAGCUGUCAACAGCGACUUCUACCGGAGGAUGCAGAACAGCGAUUUCUUGCGGGAGCUCGUGAUCACCAUCGCCAGGGAGGGCCUUGAGGACAAAUACAACUUGCAGCUGAAUCCGGGUGAGGGGCAGGUCCUGGGCCCUCGGGAAAGAGUGGAGCCGGGAGCGGUUUGGAGAACACCCCUGGGAGAGGAGGGGCUGGCUUGGGCAGGGUGUCCUGGAGUCUGUGCUACUAGGA
rnacentral:sRNA from 1 species